GAUCAAAAUAGUGAAAUGUCAGGGUUUGCUCUACUGCAAAUUUGCAGUUUACUUGAACUUUGUUGUGAUGAGCAAUUCUGGUCUGACCAAACUAAUAAAUGCAUGUGCUUUUCAUGUUUUGUUCCUAGUAAGAAGUUGAUUCUGUAUUUUAUGUAUUUGUUGUGAGCUACUUUUAACUCUGAUAAAGAACGUACAUUGUAUUUUCUUGCUGGUGUCCUUACAUCUUUGAUCUGAUGCUUUAUUACCGGGUUGGGAGUGAUCGCACCCGCAGGGGUGCGACAAGCCACAAUUUCUAUCUGGUCUAUGUUAGGCCUGUCCAGACGACUUCAACUUCUGUACGCUACAUUUUCUUUUGGAUGUGUCAUGUCGUCAUUUCUAUUGGUCUACGUUAUGCCUAAGACCAACCAAGGAUUUAUCAGUUUGGUUGUUAUAAAUUGUCUGUAAGCUACUACAUGUUGUCGUGUCUUUUAUGCCUAAGAUAUUUAGUGCUAAACCUAUCGGCGAAACAUGCUUUCUAUGUUCAUGCAUUGUUUAGAGGCUUCUUAUUGUGUGUAUACAAACAUUUGGACCGGCACCCUCGCGCCAAGGCGUGAUCCCGAUCUAGUUUCAGAAUAUUGUUAGCCCAACAUACAUGAUAUUUGUACAUUAGCAACAUGUAUGUUAGUCCCAAAAUGAAUUUUUGAACUAUGGAUGGUACCACUAAAUUUUUUUGAACCACAUCUAAAUUUCUCAUUUGCUUCUCUGUUUACAUGACCCACAAUGCACUUGAUUUCCAAACUAAUAGAUUUGGAAACAAUAGUAGUUUUGGUUUGUUUUUAUUCAACAACAGUUGCAUAUUCUUGCUAUAAUCUGUGAUAUGGUCUGUGCUGGCUAUCAUGCUUCUUAAUUUCCAAUAUAUUGAUCCAACAGUUACAGCAUGGCCUGAUAGACAUUGAAAUCAAUUUGUUCGGGCUGAGAACCAUUCUAUAUAAUACUCACCAUUGUUUCGUUUCUUUUGGUCUAGGACAAAGGGUAUAGGAAUGUUUGUAUUCAGAUAGAAGGCUGAAUUAGAUGCAUUCUUCGAGAGAAAUUUACAUCUUUUUACUAAUUCCUCUCUUUGUUUUGUUUGUUUGGCUAUUUCAGAAUGACAACGAGAUACACCUCCUUGAUGAAAAUAUAUGGGCAGUCGUGUAGUCAUCACCGAGGAAGAUAUUGUAUGUAGCUUACUAUAUUUUUGGACUGCCAAAACAUGAGAAGGGGGCAACACAUAACCAGCGAUAAUGAGGUGCCGUUGGCCAUGGGUGCAGUUGUCCACAGCUAGGGGUGGGAUUGUUAGUUUGUUACAACAUAUGGAUGAUAUGCACAUGGAAGGCUGAUAUAAACAAGCUAUAAUUGUUUGGGCUAUGAUUCGCAACAUAGAUUGGGGAUUUUAAAAUGUCAGACAAGAAAGUUAUCGGCCUAGUCGUCGCUUGAGUCGGAUGAGGUCAUGGUUACUUUACCUGAUGAGUUACUGCCCAGGAAGAGCACAAUCCACCACCGCUAUAUAGCAGAUGGAGCUACCAAGGACGUCGUCAUAUUGACCACCGAUGACCUACAUCCUUUCGCUUCCCCUCAUGUUUUGCAGAAUAGAAGUGGCCUGAAAGCCACUUGAAUGAAAUCUUGUGUCUUGCGAUGUGUCAAUGCCAUGAAUUAGAUGUUUGUAGUAUAUUUUUUUAAUUGAAAUGUUUACCUGUGAUAUUGAGCACAGUACAUUAGUGCAUGGAUCAGCAUUGCAGUUUCAACUCUUUUGAUGUAUGGUGAUCUAUGUUUUGUGCAGACUAACAAGGCUUUGUAGUGAAUUUUUAUAGGUCACAUGCGACAAGUUGCCCUUCGUAUGUUAAUCUUGAUACUUUGUACUGAAUUUUUAUGCG
rnacentral:rRNA from 1 species